rnacentral:rRNA from 1 species
GACGAACGCUGGCGGCGUGCCUAAUACAUGCAAGUAGAACGCUGAAGAGAGGAGCUUACUCUUCUUGGAUGAGUUGCGAACGGGUGAGUAACGCGUAGGUAACCUGCCUUGUAGCGGGGGAUAACUAUUGGAAACGAUAGCUAAUACCGCAUAACAAUGGAUGACACAUGUCAUUUAUUUGAAAGGGGCAAUUGCUCCACUACAAGAUGGACCUGCGUUGUAUUAGCUAGUAGGUGAGGUAAUGGCUCACCUAGGCGACGAUACAUAGCCGACCUGAGAGGGUGAUCGGCCACACUGGGACUGAGACACGGCCCAGACUCCUACGGGAGGCAGCAGUAGGGAAUCUUCGGCAAUGGGGGCAACACUGACCGAGCAACGCCGCGUGAGUGAAGAAGGGUGUCGGAUCGUAAAGCUCUGUUGUAAGUCAAGAACGGGUGUGAGAGUGGAAAGUUCACACUGUGACGGUAGCUUACCAGAAAGGGACGGCUAACUACGUG